UGUAAAUAACUUUGGAGAAAUAUUGACAUAUGAUCAAUUUCUUCUUAACAUCGAUAGUGGUCAUAUUAAACAAUGAUUGAUGACGUUUGUUUAACCGGAGAUGAUCACGUGACACGCGGAAGGACAACUCGACCGAACAACGACCUAUCAAUGAGGAUCGCGGAGUGAUACACUGCUAAUAAACGAAACCACGCGACACGCGUGCGCGGAGAAGAGGAGACACUGACGACACGGCGGCACGGCCCACCAUGGUCCCGGGUUACCAGGCCACAUGGAGAGGACACGUGUCAUUUCAUCGGUUUAUGUGAGGUGACAGUCGGCCGUCGUCUCCUUGACAGGACCACCGGGACUAAUAGGAUGGUUUGUGUGCGGGGGGGGGGCGUUUGUGGCAUAUCGAGAAGUCAACGUGGGUGCUGAUGCUGAGGAGGAGAUGGGACUAUAAUGAGGGCUGUGUGCCUGGAGGCUCUGUGGCUCCCGAGAAAGUCUUGCUACCUGUAUUGGAGAGAAGGAUCCACUUUGGAGGGUGCUGGGGGGGCAGUGUUAUCUUCUUGUCACAAAGCCCAAUUCUGCAAAAGACAGGACAUCAUGUAAAACUCAGACAGCAAUGAUUUGCCUUCACUCCCCGGCGUAGGCCAAGACAGGAAGUUCUUAAUCCACCCCCACCCCCCUCCCUGCUUGCACACCACCGAUUGAUAAUCACAUGUUUACAAACAUUAUAAGGUCUGUUUUUUAUUUUCCAAGAUGGUGGGUUGUGUUUGUAGCCCAUCUGUUGGGGUGCAGAGGUGUACACAGGCGACCGAAAAAAAACCACACAUACAAAAGCCAGCGUCUGCAACGCGCAUAUGCUUCACACACGCGCCCACACGACACUUGCCCACACACCCAACACGACCGAGACCCCGAUUGAGUCACUUGGAUUUUUAAUUAGGGUUUGACAUCAAUUCUAUGCUCCAAACUCGUUGGGCCACUUCAACGAGAAAUCAGAGCUCAUUAGUGUUGCUUCCACUUGGACUUUAUUUUUAACUUUAGCCACCACCAACUGUUGGCUGCUUGGUGUCGCUAUAGCGACCAGUGGAAGGAACAUCCUCUGAGAAUUUUGUACAAGAAAUGCAGCCUAAUUAAGACUGAAGCUUCAUUUGUGUGUGUUGCUCUUUUUUAUGUCCUUUUAAAGGGUCGUAUAUGCUGAAAUUUAACAGAUGGCUGUGUUCAGGUGACCUUUGACCUGCUUUUUUUUUUUUGGGUUAA